GCCUAGCUGGCUCCAUUGGUAGAGCAUGGGACUCUUGCUCUUGGGAUCAUGAGUUCAAGUCCCAUGUAAAGUA
rnacentral:tRNA from 1 species